rnacentral:rRNA from 1 species
UACGUAGGGUGCGAGCGUUGUCCGGAAUUAUUGGGCGUAAAGAGCUCGUAGGCGGCUUGUCGCGUCGGAUGUGAAAGCCCGGGGCUUAACUCCGGGUCUGCAUUCGAUACGGGCAGGCUAGAGUGCGGUAGGGGAGACUGGAAUUCCUGGUGUAGCGGUGAAAUGCGCAGAUAUCAGGAGGAACACCGGUGGCGAAGGCGGGUCUCUGGGCCGUAACUGACGCUGAGGAGCGAAAGCAUGGGGAGCGAACAGG